rnacentral:rRNA from 1 species
AUGAAUCUGGCCGCCAUGGCUUCCACGCCGCAAAACACGGCGUCGACGCAUAAGUCGUCCAUUUUCAGAGCGACGCACCACUUCCACAUCGUGGGCUACAGAGUGCCGAGGAUCAACGGCCGUAUCAGGUCCGGCGACUUUCUUGCCGGCGGCCACACAUGGGCCCUCCUCUGCGACUUCGGUGAGAAAGGCGAUGAUCACCUCUCGUCAAUCACCCUCGAGCUCGUCGCCGCCGGCAACAGCAAGGGAGACGUCGUCGUCGCCAUGGCCAGCCUCCGCAUGGACGACCCGCGCGGCCGGUGGCCGGCUGCCGUGUGGCGGAGCGACGGCCACAACGUCUUCUCCAAAACCGGCAAGAGCUGGAAGCUAACGCUCCCAGAUUUGUUCCGUGGCCAUGAGGCGCGCUACGUGGAGGACGACUGCCUCACCAUUCUCUGCACCGUCGACGUGCUCGACGAGAAACCAGUUGCCAAAACGGAGAGCACGAAACGCUUCGUCGUCGCGGUGCCAUCAUCGCCGACCGUCUCCCAGGAUCUCGAAAAACUUAUGCUACCAGACGCGUCCAGCAGCGUACCACCGGACGUGACGUUCUUGGUGGAGCAGACCGAGAUCAAGGCGCACAAGCUCGUGCUCGCCAUGCGUUCGUCCGUCUUCGCCGCCGAGUUCAGGUGGCACGGUUCCGCUUCCACCGCGGGGGCGCGCGCCAUCAGGAUCGAUGACAUGAGCGCCUCCACAUUCAGGGCCAUGCUUCGCUUCAUCUACACCGACGAGAUGCCCAUCAAACCAAGCAAAAACGUGGCACGGCGCCCCUCGAAGGCAAGGCGCUGUGAAGCCAUGGCACGCGACCUGCUCGUGGCAGCCGACCGGUACGACCUGGAAAGGCUGAGGCUCAUGUGCGAGAAGAUCCUCUCUGAGAACCUCAACGCAUCGACCGUCAUGUCGACGCUGCUGCUGGUGCGUGGCCGGAAGAGCUGCCGGCAGCUCGAGCAAUCCUGCAUCGAGCACAUUGCAACCCACCCCGACGUGCUCGCGGCCGUGAUGGCGACGCAGGAGUACGAGGAGCUCAAGGAAACCUGCAGCCCUUUGAUACUCGAGAUCGUAGAGAGAGUUGCAAUGGCCAUGCAUGGCCUUGACCGCAACUCCUCCCUUCUGUCGGAGAAGAGCUCAUCGACGUUCAACGCGUCGGAGGAGGUGCACGGCUGGCACGACUUCAAGAUCCCCAACUUUAACGCCGUGCAGAGGAGUCAUGGCGUUGGCCAAAAGAUCCAUUCCAGCCCUUUUAAGGUCGGCGGCUAUGACUGGGUGCUAGACGUGUACCCAUCGGGGAGAUCCGACGACGCUGGGAAGUACAUCUCCGUUUUCCUCUCGCUUGUAUCUGAUCUUCCUAAAGGAUUCCCCGGCGUCAGGGCGUCCAGGUGCUUCAAGAUCCAAGACCCGAGCGGGACGUGGCCGCUCACCGUGAAGAGCAGCUCUGUCACUCUCUUUGGGGGGAACACCGCUAGAACAUGGGGUUAUCCCAAGUGUGUCGGCAUAGAAAAUGCGAAAUCAAAGUACAUGGCAAGUGAUGGCUCCUUGACCAUACGCUGCGAAGUCGACGUCACUAAAGAGCCCUACACUAGGGCUAGCACCAUUGGCGCCAGAUUCAUGGUCACCGUUCCUCCCUCCGAAAUCUCCACGCAACUCGAGCAGCUGCUGGCAAGCGAGAAUGGCUCGGACGUGGCCUUCCUAGUCGAGGAGAGCGAGAUCCGCGCGCACAAGCUCGUGAUCGCCGCGCGGGCACCAGCCUUACACGAAGCGGUGGUGGCCACCAACAACAACAACAGCAAGGAGGAUGACCACGCCGCCGCCAUGGUACGGGUCGACGACAUGAAGGCUGCGGUGUUCAAGGCCGUGCUCCAUUUUAUCUACACCGACGAGCUCCUUCCUGGAGAUGGCACUAGGUUGCUGACUGGGGACAUGCUCACGGCGGCGUGCCGCUUUGGGCUGACGAGAAUGAAGGCCAUGUGUGAGAACUUGUUGUGCGAGUCCUUGUCGAAAGACAACCUGUUGGCCACUGCGAAGCUCGCGCGCCGUCACCAUUGCAAGGAGCUUGAAGAUUACUGCAUCGAGUUCGUCUCCGCCCCAGACGUGGCCAAGGACCUGCUGAAAACAUUCAUCGGCUUGGAGGACUAG